GGGGCACUGGCUGUGACAGGCUCCACGCCGCUGGUGGCGGUUCCAGACUCAGGGUGAGCGGGAAGGACACCGGGGCCAGCGGAGACCCUUCUUUGAAGCGGAAAAGAGAAAACGUGAGAUGGGUAGAGGGCACGCUGGUGCCGGGAGGGCAGGUGGAGGUGGGGGGUGGUUGGCAGAGGAAAGGUCUGGAAACCUGCACGCAGUGGUGGGAGCAGAGGUUCUGGAGCCCGGUGGUGUGACUGAGCAGCAUUACUCACUGCAGCUGGAAGACAGGCAGUCCAGCCACGCCACGGAAUAUUACUCAGCCCCGAAAAAGGAAGGCACUCCCGACACACAUUCCAACAGGGAUGAACCUGCAUGACAUUAUGCAAAGUGAAAUAAGCCAGUCAACAGAGGACAAGGACUGUUUGAUUCCACAGAUAAGAGACACCUGGAGUCAUCCGAUUCCUCGAGACAGAAAAUCAAAGGGUGGUUGCCAGGGCUGCGGGGAGGGGGAUGGGGAAUUAGGGUUGGGACAGUAUCAAUCGGGGAAGAUGAAGAAGUCCUGCAGAUGGAGGAUGGUGAUGGUUGCACAACAUGCCAAAUGGAUUUAAUGACCCUGGGCUCUGCACUCAGAAAUGAUUCACAUGGGGGCCACCGGUUUAAGUGUCUACCUUCCGCUCAGGUCAUGAUUCUGGGGUCCUGGGAUGGAGCCCCAUAUCGGGCUCCCUGUUUGCCGGGAAACCUGCUUCUC